rnacentral:rRNA from 1 species
UACGAAGGGGGCUAGCGUUGUUCGGAAUUACUGGGCGUAAAGGGCGCGUAGGCGGCCUGUUUAGUCAGAAGUGAAAGCCCCGGGCUCAACCUGGGAACCGCUUUUGAUACUGGCAGGCUUCAGUUCCGGAGAGGAUGGUGGAAUUCCCCAAGUAGAGGUGAAAUUCGUAGAUAUGGGGAGGAACACCGGUGGCGAAGGCGACCAUCUGGACGGAUACUGACGCUGAGACGCGAAAGCCAGGGGAGCGAACGGG